GUCCUAUUGAUUAUAAUAUUAGGUCUAACCUGCCCACUGAAAUUUUAAAUGGCCGCGAUAUUUUGAUCGUGCUAAGGUAGCAUAAUAAUUAGUUUUUUAAUUGAAAGCUGGAAUGAAGGGUUGAAUGAGAAAAUAGCUGUCUCUUAUUAAUUUUAUUAGAAUUUUAUUUUUAAGUUAAAAAGCUUAAAUGUCAUUAAAAGACGAGAAGACCCUAUAGAGUUUAAUAAAAUAUAUAAUUAAGGAUUUUUAGUAUUUAUUGAGUUUAAUUAUGUAUUUUAUUUAAUUGGGAUGAUUAAAAAAUUUAAGAAACUUUUUUUUUAUUAGAACAUUAAUUUAUGAUUAUUUGAUCCAUAUUUAGUGAUUAUAAGAUUAAAUUACCUUAGGGAUAACAGCGUAAUUUUUUUAUAGAGUUCAUAUCGAAAAAAGAGAUUGCGACCUCGAUGUUGGAUUAAAAUUAAUUUUUGGUGUAGAAGCUAAAAUAUUAGGUCUGUUCGACCUUUAGAAUUUUACA
rnacentral:rRNA from 1 species